rnacentral:lncRNA from 14 species
AGUUUUAAUGCAAUGCAACAGGCCUACUAGGAAAAUUAGGACGGGGAAGGAUGUGGAAGGACAAUCUACAAAGACCAAAAUCUUCAUUCUGUUGCACUCAGGAGUUCCAGACCAGGACAAUAAGAUGAUGAGAACAUGGAUGUCAGAAAAAACAAGUGUUGAAGAAGCUAGGUGGUUUCACUUCGUGAAUGUGUCAGGCAAGUUGAUUCCAUUUCAUCGUCUCAUCACAGCAGGGGGCUAA